rnacentral:rRNA from 1 species
UUGAAAGGGAAACGAUUGAAGUCAGUCGUACCAGCGGGNAAUCAACCUUUCGAGUGGGGGUUUUGGAGUUUUGAAGAGUGUCAAAACCUUUGAGAUUUCAAAAUAUUCGCUCUUUUGGUGUACUUUCUCGUGGGUAGGUUAACAUCGAUUUUGAUCAUCAUAAAAAGAUUGGAGGAAUGUAGCUUCGAUCUUGUAUUGAAGUGUUAUAGCCUUUGGUAAAUGUGAUGAUUAGGAUCGAGGAUUGCAACGAAUACCCUUUUGGGCUAUCCGCCUGAUCUCUGAUACGUGGCCUUGGUAUCGAAAGCUUGCUUAUGGUAUUGAGGUAUUACGGUCAAAAGGCUAGAACGGAUUACAUUCGUUAAGGAUGUUGACGUA